CUGAAAGGAAGGAAGGCAGGGACUACCCUGGUCUAGUUCUCUCACUCUCUUAUCCCCAGAGGCUGGCAUAUAAGAGACAAUAAAUAUUUGUUGAACGAAGGACUGAGACUCAGAAUAAAGGACCAAAAGGCUCUUGGAACCCUUCCUUUCAGGAAAUGUUUCCGACCGGAAGGCUUUCUCGCGAACACCUUCCCCCUUUUUUGCCAGUCGGAGUCCAAUGGUCGCCCUAGGGCUCCUAGAAGAUCAAGUCCCGCCAUUCUUUCAGUCCCUAUGAGCGGGCUCCUGGGCGACUGCCCCUCCUUCCGCACGGAGGGAAGGAGCCACGCUCUGCGUCGCGGUCCCGGAACCUGAGGACGGCUCGCUGAGAGGGGAGGGUCCUCCAGAGAGAGCCUGUGGCAGUGUGAGUUUCCGGCCGGAGUACUUUCCUGCUGCUCUCCGAAUCCUGAAGCUGGGCAGUCCCUGCCUCCUGCUCCAGAAGGCGGAGCAUCCCCAGAAGUCACCCUUUCGGCCACCUCCGGACCCAAAAAUUUGCUGCGUCUGGAUACGGAGGCAGGGCGGGGGUCAGAGGAGUGAACAGGCUCGGGAGCUGUGGCAUUCUUAGAGUCCUGGCCGAUGGAGCAGGGAGGGAGCUGGGUGUGGGCCUGUGUGGCCCCCAGGGCAGUGGGUGUUGAAGACUGAGAAGCCUUGUGAGGCAGGGUUGGGGAGGGGCUGCCGAGACCAGGGGGUGAGGUCUAGAGAGAGAGCAGAAAGCGAGGAGUGGUUUACUUGGGCCCCAGUUGACCCAGAGACUCAGACCUGAGAUUCACUUUACUCCCCAAGCGGGAGAAGGGGUUGUUGCUUCGGAAAGCAAGAUAAGUGGGGCGAAUAGUGGACCUUAGAGGGGGUCAUCCAGGAAAGAUUCCUGAAGGAGGCAGGGCCCAGGCUGCAGGCUGGGGAGGCUUUGGGCAGCAGGAGGGAGGAGAGGGUGCUGGAGUAGGGAUCACUCUGCCACUCUCCCUGGAGAUCCGAGGUAAGCCUCUGGCCCUUUCGGGAGCUCAGUGGGUGCUUCUUUUUGCCAGCCUCCCAGGACUGUUGAGAAGAUUAAGCAAGACCCUGGAUAUGAAUGCUCAGUGUGAACUGAAAUUCAGGGGACAUGAGUAAACUGUCACAAAUGAGUCUGGAGGAUGAGAGAGAUUGCUGGGGCCCAGGUGUUUAUUUGGUAGUAUUGGGGGUGGGGGUGGAAUGGAAAUCCCAGACAGAGCAUGAGCCAAGGCACAGUGUCCCAAAAUUUGAGGUGUGAAUGGAGAAGUCAGCAUGAUCCAUUGCAGCUGUCUGGUCAGGGUUGAGUGAGGGCCGGGGUGAGAAAGGUAGUUGAGGCCAGGUUGUGAGAGGCCUUGAAUGCCAGGCUAAGGGGUUUAUAGUGUAGGCAGGACCCUGGGAGGAUUUUAAGCAGAGGUGGUGUUAGAAAGAUCCUUCUGGAGCUGGUGGACUGGUGAGUGGCGCGUACAGGUGAUGCCUAGCCAGCCUGGUGGGGGGGGUCAGAGGACAUAGGAUUCCAGAAGGCUAAGGAGGAGGUAGCCACUAGAGGAAAGGGGAAGAAUUGCCAGUCAGAGGAGAACACAGAAGCCUUUGGAUGUAGAACUGUGCAAACUCAAGUUCUGGCCGGGGGCUCUGAGAUGCUGUGUGUGGUUGGAACACAGGAAUGAGAAGUGGGGUGGAGGUGUGGGCGGACCACCUCACAAAUGGCCUCUGAUUCCAAGCUGAGGAACUUGGGCUUGGUCCUGAGGGUAACAGGGGACAUGGAAAGGUUUUGAAUGGUGCAGAAGUCACAUUCAACACAGCUGUGAGAAGAAUCUUGGGCUUGUAUGGGAUGAGAACUGGAGGUCAGGAUUCCAAGAAGUGGAUGGAGGGGCGGUUUGCUGGAAACCAGGGUUUGCGCUGGGGUGGCUGUGGCGGCUGUGGCGGUGGCAUUGAGGAGAAGUGUGAAGUGCUUGCCAGCAGGGGUCACAUGCACUGACUCAGGUCAGGGAUGUGUGACCUUAGGCCAAUCACACCAUCUCUCUGAGCUUCUGUUUCCUUAUCUGUAAACUAGGGAUUCUAAUGGAACUCACCUGGUAGGUCUGCUCUGCAGGUAUAAUGAAUUUAGGCAUGGCUGGUCCUGAGUAAGGGCUCAAUAAAUGUUGGUCAUUGUUGUCAUUAUUUCUGGGGAUAGUGGUGGGGG
ensembl:lincRNA